rnacentral:snRNA from 1 species
AUAUUUACUUAGCAGGGAAAAUGCCACUAUCAAGUAGGUGGUUUUCCCAGGAUGAGGUUUGACCAUUGCACGACGGUCUUGCUGACUCUUGUGAUAUCCCCAAAUGUGGUAAACUCAACUGCCUGACUUGUGAUGGGGAGGACUGUCUUCGUGCUCUUUCCCU